AGUGAACGCUGGCGGUAGGCCUAACACAUGCAAGUCGAACGGCAGCACAGUAAGAGCUUGCUCUUACGGGUGGCGAGUGGCGGACGGGUGAGGAAUACAUCGGAAUCUACUUUUUCGUGGGGGAUAACGUAGGGAAACUUACGCUAAUACCGCAUACGACCUACGGGUGAAAGCAGGGGAUCUUCGGACCUUGCGCGAUUGAAUGAGCCGAUGUCGGAUUAGCUAGUUGGCGGGGUAAAGGCCCACCAAGGCGACGAUCCGAGCUGGUCUGAGAGGAUGAUCAGCCACACUGGAACUGAGACACGGUCCAGACUCCUACGGGAGGCAGCAGUGGGGAAUAUUGGACAAUGGGCGCAAGCCUGAUCCGGCCAUACCGCGUGGGUGAAGAAGGCCUACGGGUUGUAAAGCCCUUUUGUUGGGAAAGAAAAGCAGCAGGUUAAUACCCCGCUGUUCUGACGGUACCCAAAGAAUAAGCACCGGCUAACUUCGUG
rnacentral:rRNA from 1 species